AGUUCAUGAUUGGGUAAAUGUACUAAAGACUCAUUGGAAAGAAUUGGGUGCAACUCUAAUGUGUGAUGGUUGGACCAACAGUUUGAAUCAAAUGCACAUCAUUAAUUUCCUUGUUUAUUGCAGUAAAGGAACCAUUUUUUGGAAAUCGGUAGAUGUCUCAAGUGUCCGUAGUAGAGAUGUUGAAUUCUACUACCGUUUGUUAGAUUCAGUUGUAGAAGAAAUUGGAGAAAAUUACAUUGUCCAAAUAGUGACUGAUAAUGAGGCAGCAAUGAAAGCUGCUGGAAAAAAGUUAAUGUUGAAAAGACAACAUCUAUAUUGGACCUCAUGUGCAGCUCACUGUUUAGAUUUAUGCCUUGAAGAUAUUGGGAAAAAGCCCAGUGUAGCAAAAGUGUUAGGUGAGGCAAAGAAAGUGACUUGCUUUAUAUACAAUCACAUUUGGACUGUUGAUUUGAUGAAGAAGUAUACACAAGGGAAACAAAUACUUCGACCCGCUCUUACUCGAUUUGCAACUCAUUUCAUUCAACUUGAAGAGAUAACAAGACAAAAGCAAGGUUUGAGAGAAAUGUUUAAUUCAAAGGAAUUUAAAGAAUCAAAAUGGGGAAAGCAAAAGUCAGGGCCUGCUUAUGAAGCCAAAAAAAUUGUUUUGGGAAAAGAUUUUUGGAAAAAAGCCAAUGACCUCAUAAAAGUUUAUGAGCCCUUAGUAAGAGUAUUGAGACUUGUGGAUAGCGAUGAAAUACCAACGAUGGGCUUUAUUUAUGAGGCUGUUGAUAGGGCUAAACAAGCAAUUCAACAAAAUUGUCGAUAUUUCACAGAGUAUGAAAAGAUUAUUGACAAUAGAUGGAAUUUUAUGCAUUCCGACUUGCAUUCAGCUGGUAAGAUAAAAUAUUUCAUAUAAUUAAGAACUAUUUUUAUAUUUUAUUAUUUUAAGCUUUAGAUUAUUAUUAUUUGAUGAUAUUCUUAUAAAUUAUACUUAGGUUAUUUUCUCAACCCUCAAUUUCAAUUUGGGGUGGAGCAUUCUGAGAAUGUAUUAAUAGAAACAUUAGAAGGUACACGAUCAGUAAUUGAAAGAUUAGAACCUUCUAUGGAUACUCAAGUCAGAAUGGUUAAUCAGUUGUUAUUAUUUAGAGAUAAACAUGAGACAUUCGGUACUCCACAAGCACAAAGAGCUUGGAAGCAAAUGAAUCCGGCUGAGUGGUGGAUGAUAUAUGGCACAUGUGUUCCCGAAUUACAAAAAUUAGCAAUUAAAGUGCUUAGUCAAAC